rnacentral:lncRNA from 1 species
AAAACAUUUCAGAUUCCACUCUGCUGCAGCAUCAAACGCAAAAACCCUGUAGGGAACCAGUCACAACUUAUCCCGUUUAGUAUUAUUUCUAGCUCUGUUAAAAAUUUGAUUGCCAAAGUGAACGUACAGCUCUUUCUUUUCCCUAAAAAGACAGAAAGGCGCAGGUCCGGCAUCAAAUGUUUUCACGGUCAUCCCAGCACUCAAGAACCCAACUACCUCCUUUGCCAAGUGAAGCGAAGCCGGCACGGACCUGCACGUCCUGAGGAAAAAAAAAUUCUGAGGAAAAACGAGCCGCAAAGGCGGGAGCCGCCGGGAGUUGCCCCCUCCCCGCCAAGCUCAAAUCUCAUUAUCCUUCAGGGCGCGCCAGGGGGAGACGGCUCGGGCCCUCCCCCACAAAGGCAGCGAGCCCAGCCCCGCCGAGGUCCCCGGGAGGCGGCCCCCAGCCCCGGGAGGGCCAGCGCCAAGGCUGGCCCGGAAGGGAACCGGCAGCGGGAGCGGCGCCCCCUUCCCCCGCCCCGCCGGGCCCUCCCCACAGCAGGCCCUGCCUCUCCCGUCAGGAUAUUCUCCGCCCGCAGCCGCCGCACCGUCUCCUCACGGUCCUGCAGCCGCGCGUACAGCUCAUCCAGGGCCUUCUCGGGCAUCUCCCCCUCCUCCUCGAAGUUGAGGCGCGACGAUGGCAGCGGCCCAUUCUCGUCCUCGAGCUGCUCGAAGAGCUCGCGGUCCCCGAAAUCCACCUCAGCCGCCAUCUUAAGCUGCAGCAGGAAGGGAGGGGCUUGGCGGGGGGGGAAGCUGCCGAGGGGGCAAAGGGCAGUGGCAGCCGCCGCUCGCAGCGGGAAGCGCCGGGCGGGCGGGCCCUGUCCCCGUGGCGGAGCCGGAGGACCACAGCUCCCAGCAUGCACCGGCGGCAGCCCGCCGCGGCGGCGCCCGUCCGCGGGCGCUGGGCGCGCUGGGAGCUGCAGGAGGCGCGGCGCGGCCGGGCGCGGUGCCUGCUGGGAGCCGCACGGUGGGGGGGCCGUUCGCUGCCUGCGCCUACAGCGGCCUGCAGGAGACAGCGGCCGCAUGGCGCCUCUUGCUGUGGUUGCUAGGUUUGUUCUUCCGCGCCGGAGGAGGGGUGGGAGAGAAAAAAACAGGGCAGCAGCAGGACGCAGGACUAGAGUUUGUGUAAGCAGGCUCGCACAGCCUUGUGCAUUUAGCGCUCUUGUAACACAAGCUCACACGAUCCACUACAAAAACUUAACACGCUUUCCGGGACUUCUAACAAACUGA